CUGUACGCCAGGCCACCACUGCUACCCUGCCCCAGUCCACCUCCUUCUUAUAGCACAGAACAGAACUGUCUUCCUGUGCCAUGUCUUCAUCGGUUGCUAUGGAGACUGGGUGAUUAUUAAGCCAUGGUAAACAAACAGACCCUGGAGUGUUCUCACCUGGGCUCACCCUGGCAACGUGAACCAGCACCCACAACGGGGAUUGUUCCCUGAGUGUCCACCCUGGCUCAUAUCUACAAACUGGAUCACUUUACUGAGUCUCCCUGGACAUGGCAUGCCCUUUCUGGAUGAGAUUUCUCUGUUCUUGCAUGGUUUCCCCAUGAUGCUCAGCUCUGGAAGAUGCCCGUCACUGUGGUCUUCCUCUGGGAUGAGUGGCCUUGGUCCUGAUGCUGUGCUGACAGCUGACAGAAGAGAGGAAACACAAAGCAUCAAUUGUCAGUGUGAAUUGAAUUUAAACCCUCAAAAAAUUUGAGGAGAGAAUGGACUACAAGUUUCAAAGCUGACAGAAUGUUCGUGUAGGAGGGGACCCAUGGCACACCAGCUUGUACUUUUACCAGAAAGAAAAAGAAAACAACAAAAAACAAGGCCCAGAGAGGAAUGUGUCUUCCCCAAGGUCACAGAGCAAGCACGUGGUGGCAUUGGUCACUUGGGUGUUCUGACCAAGGCCAGAAGGAUCUUCAUCUGUGGUCGGAAGGAACAAUAAACAACUUGUGUUUGA